GACGAACGCUGGCGGCGUGCUUAACACAUGCAAGUCGAACGGAAAGGCCCUGCUUUUGUGGGGUGCUCGAGUGGCGAACGGGUGAGUAACACGUGAGUAACUUGCCCUUGACUUUGGGAUAACUUCAGGAAACUGGGGCUAAUACCGGAUAGGAGCUCCUGCUGCAUGGUGGGGGUUGGAAAGUUUCGGCGGUUGGGGAUGGACUCGCGGCUUAUCAGCUUGUUGGUGGGGUAGUGGCUUACCAAGGCUUUGACGGGUAGCCGGCCUGAGAGGGUGACCGGCCACAUUGGGACUGAGAUACGGCCCAGACUCCUACGGGAGGCAGCAGUGGGGAAUAUUGCACAAUGGGCGGAAGCCUGAUGCAGCAACGCCGCGCGCGGGAUGACGGCCUUCGGGUUGUAAACCGCUUUCGCCUGUGACGAAGCGUGAGUGACGGUAAUGGGUAAAGAAGCACCGGCUAACUACGUG
rnacentral:rRNA from 1 species